UACGGAGGGUGCGAGCGUUGUCCGGAAUCACUGGGCGUAAAGGGCGCGUAGGCGGCCCCGUAAGCGUGCGGUGAAAGCCUGGGGCUCAACCCCGGGUCGGCCGUGCGAACUGUGGGGCUCGAGCACUGUAGAGGCAGGCGGAAUUCCGGGUGUAGCGGUGGAAUGCGUAGAGAUCCGGAAGAACACCGGUGGCGAAGGCGGCCUGCUGGGCAGUGGCUGACGCUGAGGCGCGACAGCGUGGGGAGCAAACAGGAUUGAGAAACCC
rnacentral:rRNA from 1 species